UACACAUGCAGUCGAGCGAAGCGCUUUACUUAGAAUUCUUCGGAAGGAAGAGUGGAGUGACUUAGCGGCGGACGGGUGAGUAACGCGUGGAUAACCUGCCUCAUACAGGGGGAUAACAGUCAGAAAUGGCUGCUAAUACCGCAUAAGCCCACAGUGCUGCAUGGCACAGUGGGAAAAACUUAGGGUGGUAUGAGAUGGAUCCGCGUCUGAUUAGCUGGUUGGUAAGGUAACGGCUUACCAAGGCGACGAUCAGUAGCCGGCCUGAGAGGGCGACCGGCCACAUUGGGACUGAGACACGGCCCAAACUCCUACGGGAGGCAGCAGUGGGGAAUAUUGCACAAUGGGGGAAACCCUGAUGCAGCGACGCCGCGUGAAGGAUGAAGUAUUUCGGUAUGUAAACUUCUAUCAGCAGGGAAGAAAAUGACGGUACCUGACUAAGAAGCCCCGGCUAACUACGUGCCAGCAGCCGCGGUAAUACGUAGGGGGCAAGCGUUAUCCGGAUUUACUGGGUGUAAAGGGAGCGUAGACGGCUGUGCAAGUCUGAUGUGAAAACCCGGGGCUCAACCCCGGGACUGCAUUGGAAACUGUGCAGCUAGAGUGUCGGAGAGGUAAGUGGAAUUCCUAGUGUAGCGGUGAAAUGCGUAGAUAUUAGGAGGAACACCAGUGGCGAAGGCGGCUUACUGGACGAUGACUGACGUUGAGGCUCGAAAGCGUGGGGAGCAAACAGGAUUAGAUACCCU
rnacentral:rRNA from 1 species